UGUUCGAGCCGCGAAAUUAGUUAUGCACGUGAUUGACAACGUGUUCCUCCUAUUAAAAAACAAGUUUUUUCCCUUUUUUCCAACCUUUCACUAAUGUUGGUUAUUCUGUCUGGUUUGAUCGAUUAAAAUCUUGAUUUUGUUUAUCAUUUGACUCGCCCUAAAACGUGUGUUGGCUGUCAUGAGUGUGUCUGUUGAACAUUGUCUCGAAACCAGUUUUAAUUGAGUGACAAACAAGGCAAUAGUUUCGUCUCUAAUAAACCAGUUACAGCAAAUAUGACGACUCUACAGGAAAUAUUCGAAAUUCUUAAAGAUCUCAAGCAAAACUUGAUAACUGUUCAUGGACCCAAUCCAGUUUUCCCACACCCAAACAAGGAGGAAACCCUGGCCCGAAUAGAGGAUUACAUUAUCCUUGUUGUGGCAGCCAUAAGUCGAGGGGAUUGGCCGUUGCAGUUGCCGAUUCACGGCAGUGACGAGAUGAUGACCUGGAAAUUGGCCAAACAACGACGUAAAUGCUUGCUUCUAUUCCACCUACUAGCCAAGUCCCAUGCACUUUUGCGAACCAACACCACAUCCACCAAACGGGAUAUCUACUACGAAGACGUCUCGUUAUGGGGGAGCCAACCGGUACUGGACAGCAUGGUAACCCAGAUGACAAAACUGCUGAAUAUUCCUCGAUGCUGUCUCAAUAUUGGUGCCACUUCUAAAGGAUUGGUGGCAGGUUCUCUCAACUUUCUCGAUGGCGAUGGCAAGCUCAUUGAUUGCCAAACACCAACUGGGAUUUUGAUACCAAACGAUGUCGAAAAACUUUCUCAAUUCCGGUCCAAAGCUCACCUCGUUUUGGUGGUGGAAAAAGACAGUACGUUCCAGAAACUGAUUGACGAUAAGAUCGAACGCUUCAUCGGUGACUGCAUCCUCAUUACGGGAAAAGGUUAUCCGGACGUCAACACUCGCCGCUUCUUGCGUCGCUUGUGGGAUGAGCUGCAACUUCCCCCUUUGGCGUUAGUGGAUGCAGAUCCUCACGGCAUCUCCAUUCUCGCUGUGUAUCGAUUCGGAAGUCAAAAUUUGGAAGACAUUGAACACUUGUCCACGCCUCAACUGAGAUAUAUCGGUCUUCAGCCAAGCGAUAUUGAAGCUUUGCAGAUUCCCGACGAGGCCAAAUUGCCACUAACCCAACGCGAUCGAUCCCUUGUCGACACCCUGGCCAGCCGUCCCUUUAUAACUCAAAAUCAACUUCUCCACGAUCAGCACGCUAGGAAUAACCCAGCAAAUAACUCAGAUCUGAGUGCUGCUGCAUGUUGCAUGGAAAUGAGGUGAUAGACUCUUGUGCGAACGGGAGCACUUUUGCGGCGCUGGCUGGAAAAGCGCAAGGAUUUCCAGGAGGAUACCAUUUGAAGAGGGUGGUGGUGGGGAGAGAGAGGUAGGAGCGACGCUUGCGCAUUUGCCCGGUCAAAAGGAAGUGUAACGCAAAAAGAAGCGGCCAACUCCCGAAGAACCCCCUCUGUGUACUACGCGACGGGACCUCUAUAAACAGCCCUCGUUUGUCGGCUUCCAGUCGAGAGAGGAAGCUGAGCGCCAUGCAGCACUACCAUGACAUCUCCUCCGACAUUCUCGGCCGUUACUCUCAGAGCCCAGUGGGUACCGCACCAGCCCAAGAAAUUCGCAGAUAAGUUUUGACCAAGGUGUGAUCGUUAAAUAGCGCAAAAGCGACAGUGUCUGUCACGCCGAGUGCGCCGAGUCAUCAAAAUCCAAUAGGCCACAGCAUCCGUUGGCGAGGAAAUCCGCAGGAUCAACAAGUGCCAACCGCUUCGCUGCUGGACACACGGGAGUCGCGCCGCCCUUUCUUUUUUGAAUUGUUGCUUCGCAUGUCGCCGGAAUAAAAAAGAAGAAGAAGAGGCGACUGUCUUGUUCAAUUCCCAUCUUUGAGCAACCGGUUAUAUACAUCUCCGUGUGCUGCGCCAGUGUGUGUGUGUGUAUUUUGGAUCGUGUGUGGAAAGUGUGAGCUCCUAGUCUCAACUUGACGCUCAAUAGUUUGUGGAUCUUCACACGCUCUCCCAUGAGUGCCUCGGGGAAGAGCCAUUCUAUAAGCGGCUAGUGAACAAAAAGGAAAAAAAAAGUUUCAGCAACUCUUUAUCUUCUUCUCUUGUCGAUCCCAGGCGGCAUUUUUUCAAAAAAAUUCAAACCGGAUAAUACGCACAAAGGCGUGAAGGAAAAACAGGAGCGGAAACAAUUUGGUCGAUCCCGGUGGAUCGGGUUUGGAUGAAAAACGUUUUGCGGAAGGAGGAAGUUUGAAGUUAUGAAUCAACUGCGUCAUGGAUGAUCAAGGCGGCACUAUUCAAAUUGUCGUGACGCCCAAUUGUCCGGCGACGGAGAGUUUGCUGGACGGCGGUCAAGAGAAUGCGGACCCUAAUCAAGAAAGUUCGCCGUGCUUACUGGAUCCGACCGCCACUGCGGCUGUAUCAACCGACUGCAGCCGAUCCGUCAUCAGCCACGGGUCCAGCAACAUCAGUUACCAGCAGCGACAACGCCGGGCUCAGUGGAAAGGCAUCGGAACCACUUGCAUGUGGAACGCCUUUCGGGCCAGCUUCUUUGGUCUCCUUUUGCUGGUCUCCGGAUGCAUCGUCGUCCUUGUCGGAUUCUACUCGGAGUUUCCUUCGAUCGAAAUCGCCGUCAACUUUAACCAAACCGUUUCCUUGGUCGAUCCAGAGUCGCAGAAACGUCGAGUCAAGUCCUCCUAUUCCUACAUUGGACCUGUUCUCAUCGGAAUCGGCGUUUUCGUGCUGAUUGGUGUGGGCGUGGCCACGAUGGAGAUGCGAGACAUGACAGCCAAAGUGUUCCCGCUGACGAAACGGCCCUACAAGAAAACCAAGUUGACUUCGGAGGCGCUCGGCACCAUGUUCCAAACUCCAACGCAGCGGAUCAUGAAAGAAAUGAGCGCCAAAGAUAAACGACCGGAACGUCAAACGAGCUUCCGCACUGUUGCAACGCAGACAUUUCGAACUCGCCUGUGGCCUUGGUCAAGGCUCAGGCCGUCGUCGGGUCGUUUCGUGUUUCACGGCAGAAUUGUUUUGAGGUCCUGCCAUCAACUUUCCACGCCCAAAAGCCAACAGAGUGUCAUCCUUCCACAGACUUCCAUCUGCAAACGUGGGCGUCGAUCCCGCUGUCGGCGUCGACGAAUGUUGCUGAUCCACUCCAUGGCGGCCGACUCGCUGUCCGCUUCUUGUCCCCAGCUCGACACUGUUAGCUAAUCAGAGUAAUCACUCUGUGCUGGACUGGAAUGGACUAUACUAAUUGUUGUUGUUGCUGCUACUACUGCCCGUCUGUUCCUGCUGCUCUUGUUUGUUGACUGUCGCCAUUAUAGCUCAAUAUCAGCCUGUCCAGACAUUUUUGGACGGUCAGCGCGUCUCUUUUAGCCUACGCCAUUCCUCUCGCAUAACUAUAAAGACUGGGCUAUAGACUUAUACUACGUACAUUGGAUCUCCAUCGCUUUUUUUAUGUCUUUCCUAUAUAAGAAUAGCUGAUGAUGCCGAGAUGUUCCAGGAAUAGAGAGCGCGACUCUCAUUCCAAAUUUGAUUUAUAUUUUUUAAUCAAGAGAAAGCUCCUCGGUGACGACCUCUCCCUCGCCGCCGGACGACAAUGCAAAUAAACAAAAGUCAACAGAAGCUGAAGAACAAAAGGAAAAUUUGUCGGACAGCAAAUUUUUUUUCUCUCCCCCCACAAGCGCAAGUGAACUGGACUUAAUAAAAGACUUGAGCCAAAAGAGUACAGCAUUCCUCACGUGCUGGCUCAGCGCCUUUCGACUCCGCCAUAUUUUUGUUUACUUUUUUUUUACAAAACCGGCAAAAUGUUUCUUCUUGUAGAAUCUAGACGGAAUUUUAUUUUGUAAACAGCCAAAAUCUGGCUUAACGUCGUGGUACGUAUCAUGGUCGAUCAAUAAACUGGGAUUGACGGACGGAA